rnacentral:rRNA from 1 species
CACGUAGGGGGCGAGCGUUGUCCGGAUUUAUUGGGCGUAAAGAGCUCGUAGGCGGUUCGAUAAGUCGGGUGUGAAACCUCCAGGCUCAACCUGGAGACGCCACCCGAUACUGUCGUGACUAGAGUCCAGUAGGGGAGCGUGGAAUUCCUGGUGUAGCGGUGAAAUGCGCAGAUAUCAGGAGGAACACCAGCGGCGAAGGCGGCGCUCUGGGCUGGAACUGACGCUGAGGAGCGAAAGCGUGGGGAGCGAACAGG